GAAUGAUAUCUGCGUACACUUUGCCACGUAUUUACUUGAAAACGUUUGUUUCCUAUCCUUUUAUAUACGAAAUAUUGCUGUAAGCGCGGAUUUUACGUGGCGUAUUCUCUUCUUAUGCGUAAUACGGUUUGCCAUGAAAGUGUAGUUUACGCUGUAAACAACCCUUCUCCAUCGGCUGUUUAUGGAGUUGAUUGUUGCUCGGGAGAGGAAAGAGGGAGA